GACGAACGCUGGCGGCGUGCUUAACACAUGCAAGUCGAACGGAAAGGCCCUGCUUUUGUGGGGUGCUCGAGUGGCGAACGGGUGAGUAACACGUGAGUAACCUGCCCUUGACUUUGGGAUAACUUCAGGAAACUGGGGCUAAUACCGGAUAGGAGCUCCUGCUGCAUGGUGGGGGUUGGAAAGUUUCGGCGGUUGGGGAUGGACUCGCGGCUUAUCAGCUUGUUGGUGGGGUAGUGGCUUACCAAGGCUUUGACGGGUAGCCGGCCUGGGAGGGUGACCGGCCACAAUGGGACUGAGAUACGGCCCAGACUGCUACGGGAGGCAGCAGUGGGGAAUAUUGCACAAUGGGCGGAAGCCUGAUGCAGCAACGCCGCGUGCGGGAUGACGGCCUUCGGGUUGUAAACCGCUUUCGCCUGUGACGAAGCGUGAGUGACGGUAAUGGGUAAAGAAGCACCGGCUAACUACGUG
rnacentral:rRNA from 1 species